rnacentral:rRNA from 1 species
GUAGUCUCGCACAGAUGCAUAUCAAUAAGCGGAGGAAAAGAAACUAACAAGGAUUCCCUUAGUAACGGCGAGUGAAGCGGGAAGAGCUCAAAUUUGAAAUCUUCAAGGUUCUACCUUGACGAAUUGUAGUUUAAAGAAGUGUUUUCUGUUAGAUGAGUAGCAAAAGUUCCUUGGAAUGGGACAUCAUAGAGGGUGGGAAUCCCGUAUUUGACCUUUACUUUCAACUUUGUGAUACACUUUCAAAGAGUCGGAUUGUUUGGGAAUGCAGUCCAAAAUGGGUGGUAAAUUUCAUCUAAAGCUAAAUAUUGGCGAGAGACCGAUAGCGAACAAGUACCGUGAGGGAAAGAUGAAAAGAACUUUGAAAAGAGAGUUAAACAGUACGUGAAAUUGUCAAAAGGGAAGCGUUUGACACCAGUGUUGUUUUUCUGAAAAUCAAUUAAAGAACUGUUUAUGCUAAGUUGUUUAGACUUUAUCAGCUAUCUGCUUAGUUUUGAGCUUUUCUUUAAUGCACUUUUCAGUUAACAAGUCAACAUCAAUUUCUUUUGCUGUAAAAAAGCUUGAGGAAGGUGGCUUGAGAUUCGUCUUAAGUGUUUAUAGCCUCUUGCCUAUGCAGUCGGAGAGAUUGAGGUCUGCAGCGUAGAUCCUUCGGGGCUAAAUGCAUUUGUGCUAAGUUAUAGCAUUUUAUAGACAACUUGUUGACUAUGAUUUGUCUUGUAGCUUACUCGCUUAUGUUAUUUUACCUACGCUUAGGAUGUUGAACUCUAUCACACACAG